GACGAGGUGGCCGAGUGGUUAAGGCGAUGGACUGCUAAUCCACUGUGCUCUGCACGUGUGGUUUCAAAUCCCAUCCUCGUCG
rfam:Danio rerio chromosome 4, GRCz11 reference primary assembly.